rnacentral:lncRNA from 1 species
GUGAAGUGUUCACCUCAUUUCCUCUCACCUCAUCUUCUUUGUAGAGGGUGAAGGGCCUCCUGCUUAGGAGGAGGCUUGACGUGAAGAAACCUGAGGGACCCCUGCCCUGAGCCAUGGGAAGAUCCUACCUGAGAAGGAUCCACUGGGUCUUUCUCAGCUACUACUGCUCCCUCCUCCUUUGGGCAAUGCUAAUGGACAGCAUGAUUGCACAAGGAACAAGUAUUUCCACAAGCCCUUACACAACUCUUGGAUCAACAAGACAAAGUUCCCCUGCUGUUUCCAGUCAGAUAACACAGAGCAUCACUUCUGUGUCAGGCACUAGUAAAGAAGCAGGAAGCUCCACCACAGAAACUCAUGGUACAACACAAACACCAGCAUUAACAGCUUCUUCCACCAGCUCCUCCACUCUGAAAACAGCUGAAACCACAACUCCUGCUCAACAGCCAGCCACCUCCCAGAAAACACAAUCUCAGGGAACAACACCCACACAAACAGCGUUUUCUGCUACCUCUAUAGCUCUACCAGCUGAAUCCACAACCACUUCUCAACAGCCAGCCACCUCCCAGACCACACAAUCUCAGGGAAAACACCCACACCAACAUCAACAGCCUCCUCUGCCACCUCUACCACUCCGACAACAGCUGAAUCCACAACCCCUUCUCAACAGCCUGCCACCUCUCAGAGCACAGAAUCUCAGGGGACAACAACCACACCAACAUCAACAAAGUCCUCUGCUAGCUCUACCACUCUGACCACAGCUGAAUCCACAAUCCCUACUCAACAGCCAGUCACCUCCAACAUCACAGAAUCUCAGGAGACAACAUCCAUAACCUCCUCUGCCAGCUCUACCACUCUGACAACAGCAGAAUCCACAACCCCUACCCAACAGCCAGUCACCUCCAACAUCACAGAAUCUCAGGAGACAACACUCAUUGCAACAUCAACAGCCUCCUCUGCCAGCUCUACCACUCUGACAACAGCUGAAUCUACAACCCCUUCUCAACAGCCAGCCACCUCUCAGAGAACAGAAUCUCAGGGGACAACACCCACACCAACAUCAACAGCCUCCUCUCCCAGCUCUACCACUCUGACAACAGCAGAUUCCACAACCCCUACCCAACAGCCAGUCACCUCCGACACCACAGAAUCUCAGGAGACAACAUUCAUUGCAACAUCAACAGCCUCCUCUGCCACUUUUACCACUCCGACAACAGCUGAAUCCACAACCCCUUCUCAACAACCUGCUG